CAUGAAUUGCCUGGAACUAUUUUCGGCAAGGCAAACAUGCGAACGCCCGGUCUUCAUGGAAGUCCUGGAUGUAUACGUUCCCCUCCACGAAUCAAACUGGCAUUCGGUAGAUAGAAUCUACCGAAUGAGGGGAACAUUCGUAUGUAACCAGCUGCACCAUACGAACGGUGGUUUUCGUGUAGUUAGAUGCAAACAGAGACCGG